rnacentral:lncRNA from 1 species
AUAAUUCUCAACAUUAAGUUGCAUAGAUAUGUGUUCUUAAGUUGUUGAAUUCUUAAUGCAUCCUGUGUUCAGCAAGUUUUUUUUAAUAUAUACUGUACCAUGGGUGUGUUAAGAAUAGUUAUACUUUAUAAUAAUGGAACUUCAUAUUAUUGCAAUGCAUAUUUAAAGAGUACUUGUUGAAAGCAUACCAUUCACCUAAAGUUAAAAAUUCUGGUUUAUUUAAAGCUAUAAGAAGAAUCAUUUCUGGGCUUGUGAUGUUAAUAUUGCCCCCCUACUGGGGUUAUUUGUCCUUGGGUUGAAGGGUUGGAAAUCGUGCCAAAUGGGAUAACAUUGCCGGUGGACUUCCAGGGGAGGAGUACGGGGGAGGCCUUCGUGCAGUUUGCUUCACAGGAAAUAGCUGAAAAGGCUCUAAAGAAACACAAGGAAAGAAUAGGGCACAGGUAUAUUGAAAUCUUUAAGAGCAGUAGAGCUGAAGUUAGAACUCAUUAUGAUCCACCACGAAAGCUUAUGGCCAUGCAGCGGCCAGGUCCUUAUGACAGACCUGGGGCUGGUAGAGGGUAUAACAGCAUUGGCAGAGGAGCUGGCUUUGAGAGGAUGAGGCGUGGUGCUUAUGGUGGAGG